GUUCGCAUUUGAUGUUAAUGUAUUCAAGAAAGAUCGUGAUGUAUUUGAACGGUGUAUCGGCUUGAUCGUUGUUAACCGUACGAUUAAUUAUGCAGGAUAGUUUGCAUCUUUUAAUUAUUGGAUAUGUCAAGAAAAUAUAGAAUUCAUUGGAAUGUGAUGCCAUGGGAUUACGGAGAUAGUUUCUUCUCGCGUAUAUCUACUUUAAUGAAACAGACGUUUCAUUAAAGAAAUAAAAUAAAAAAAAAAAAGAAAAAGAGAGGAGGAGAUUCGAUCGUACCACAAUAAAUAGGGACUCCAGACUGUUGCACGAGCCCGGGGCAUUUUUAUAUAAAACGUAUGAUAAUAAUUAUUGGCAUUCGUGCAUGGAAAAACAUAUACCAUAUAGGUUUGAGAUACGUCACGUUCGAUUCUUUUAAAUUGCCCGAUGAACGUUCACGGACGAAUUAAUUAACGUUGCCGUUGGCAGGUUGUUUCCGAACGACGUGAUUUGUAUUUGAUAUUAAUCGAUGCUACUGGAAUUGCCGGAAAUG
rnacentral:lncRNA from 1 species